UACGUAGGGUGCAAGCGUUAUCCGGAAUUAUUGGGCGUAAAGAGCUCGUAGGCGGUUUGUCGCGUCUGCUGUGAAAACUGGAGGCUCAACCUCCAGCCUGCAGUGGGUACGGGCAGACUAGAGUGCGGUAGGGGAGAUUGGAAUUCCUGGUGUAGCGGUGGAAUGCGCAGAUAUCAGGAAGAACACCCGUGGCUAAGGCGGCUCUCUAGUACGGUACUGACGCUGAGACGCGAAAGCGUGGGGAGCGAACAGG
rnacentral:rRNA from 1 species